CAAGCACAUCUACCAGAAACAGGCUAUGGAAAAAGUUUUACCCUGAAAUUGUUGGGAAGGAACAAAUAAAACACAUAAUAUGUCUGAUGUGUACUAAUGAUAUCCAGACAUUUUCAUAUUUUAACUGUUUAAACAAACAUUUGCUUGAUAUUCACCAUAUAACUGUCAAAGAAUCAAUUUUAAAUUUUAGGAAUUUUGAAGAAUUCACAUUUUGGAGGGCACAAGAUAAUAGGGAAGUAGAUUAUACUUGUCAGACCCGAAACAAGUUUAAGAAUGGGGAAGAACACAUAUUUUACAAUUGCAACAGGAGAGAUAUCAGAGGAUUUAAUAGCGCGUGCAAAGUGAGAAGUGAGAAGUCUGGGGGAAGCAUUCGCAUUCAAGGAACAUGUCCCUCAAGGAUUUUAGUAAAAGUUUUAACAAGCGGAUCAGUUGUUGUGAAAUUUGUGGAAACUCAUGUAGGACAUGCAGACGAGUUAAGAACAAAACGGUUGUCCAAGGCUGAAGAAAAUAUUGUAGUUGGGCAAUUGACUGCAGGAGUGACAAAACGAAAGGAUAAUUCAAGAUGCUAGGAAAAUUCAGAAUAACACAAUAGAAAGACUAAACCUACUAACAAGAUGAGACCUUGCAUAUUUGAUAAGGAAGUAUAAUAUUGACAAAAAAAGAGAUGCUGAUGAUAUGGUAGCGACACCUUUAAAAAUUAAUGAAUGAAAUAGCC